rnacentral:lncRNA from 1 species
UUUCCUAGUUCACAUAUAUGUUACCAUGUAGUUCUCUGCAGGUUCCCAAGAUGGUUUCCUUUAGAAACAAAAUAAUACCUUGCACAUUGCUGGUUCAUUAUUUACUUUGCCCUUUGUUCAGGUGACCUCUGCUCCGUUUCUCUGGCACUGGGAUUAACCAGUGGCUCCACAGUUCAACAGGGAAUUCUUUUUAUUUUUUAAUGUAGCCUAAUGCUUCUGGUUUUAAAUAUUGAGAGAGUUAAAGUGAUACUGAACAGUUUGCCUUUUUGCUUUUGUUGGUACUGGUUUGCUAUGAUUCAUCAGACUUUUAAUUACUUUAACAGAUAAACAAGAAUUUCAGUUAUGUUAAGUUCUGUGUUUUCUAAACCAAGACGAAAGGGGAAGGCUUAUGGUACGAUCAAGAGUACAAAAGGAACUAUUAGGCAAUGUCUGCUUUACUUUCUAUUCAAGUUUGAACUAUGUAGGAAUUCAGAUGAAACAAUUUGAAUAUUAGAACACUUGGGAAUAAAAAAUGUUUCAGAAU